rnacentral:hammerhead_ribozyme from 1 species
AUUCAGCUGAAAAGUUUCAAACAGGACGAAACGUCCGUUCUGGAU